UUGGAUUCUGUCCCCACCAUGCCAUGCAACAGCACUGAAAUUCUUCUCGCUCAAUCACUAAAUCCAAAUGGUCAAUUUUUCACUUCUUCCAUCCUUCCUUCCUUUCUUUUUCUUCCUUCCUUCCUUCCUUCCUGUCUUUCGCCAGCAGGCCAGUUUGCUGGGGCUGGCUGCUCACUUCAUUUCCUUGCCCUCCUAGUUUCUGAGACACCGCUGUCUCCCUCUCUGGUCACUUCUCCCCCGGUGGCUUGUGCUUGUCUGUUAAGUGCAGGGGUGUUCGGGGCUCAACUGACCACCUAAAACCAGUGGCUCCCAAAUCCCUGUCUCCAGCCCAGUUCCUGCCUCUAAGUUUCACACUUUAUUUCCACUCGCUCACUUACUAUCUCCAUGUGAUGUCUCACAGCCCCUCACAUUCCGCACACCCAGAACUGACCUGCUCUUCUCCAUGUUCCCUCUCACUGGAGAGCACAUCACUGGCGCAGCCAAUUAAUUUUAAAAGCUUGGAACUACUUUCAUACAAGAGCAGUCAGCAAACAAGGAUGGGAAAGUAGAGGCUUUAGGGGCAGACCAAACCUGGACUCAAAUCUGGAACUGUGUGUGACCUUGGGCAAAUGAAUUAGACUCUCUGAGCCUUAACUUUCUCAAAGUUAAGGAGAUAUUUGUUAUCAAAGGAGAUAUUUGUUAUCUAAUAACCAUAAUUACUUUUAAGAAUUGUUGUAAGGACUAAUUUAAUCAUUUUACAAAGAGAAAUGUAUCAGGUGCUAUGCUAAGUACUAGGGUUCAACAGUGAACAAAAUAAGUUGCCCACACUCUGGAAGACAUGCUCUAGUGGAUGAUGAGUUAACUACGUAAAGCACUUAGCCUUAAUCUAUCAGAGUCCAGAACACAGUAGUUUCUCAAUAAAUUGAAGUUAUUUUCAUUAUUAUCACAGUCACUAAGAUCUAGCAAAUCCACCCUAUCAACACCUAUUAAAUCCAUACUAAACUUCAUCCUCCCCUACCUCAGUUCUGGCCCUUAAUAUUUCUUGCCUGAAUUAUCUGUUGAAAUUUCUCUCAUUCUGCUAUAGACUGAAUGUUCAUGUCCUCACAAAAUUCAUAUGUAAACCUAAUCCCCAGUGUGAUGAUAUUUGGAGGUGGGGCCUUUGGAAGGUGAUUAGGUCACAAAGGUGGAGUCCUGAUGAAUUGUAUUAGUGCCCUUAGAAAAGAGACCCCCGAGAGAUCCCUUGGCCCUUCCGCCAUGUGAGCAUGCAGCAAAAAGACAAUCGUCUAUGAACUAGGAAGCAGGAUUUCAACAGACAUCAAGUCUCCCCUCUGAGCUGGGAGUUAACUCUACCUUUGUGGCAACUAAAGAUCAGAGGUUAAGCCACUUGCCAAGGAUCGCAGAGGCCAGCUCUCUCUGGGCCGUCCCCUGCUGCCUAGUCUUGCGAGGGACAGAGGCUCCUAAUUCUGGAAGACCAGCUGAAGAGCUGACUGCUCAGGUCAUAUGCAUUGUUCUUACCAAGGCUUCCCAGAAGGCGCUGAUGCAGAGGGCAAGAAAACUGCCUUCCAGGAAGAGUAAGCUCUGGAGAGAAAUGACCCUGCGCUUCCUGGGGAAAGGGAGACCUGAAGGCCUAUAGUCUGUCAAGACGAGAGAGAAAAAGAGAGAAGGAUUUAAAAGAGGUGAUGAAUGAAGCAGCAAAAUUCUACAAGGGAGAUUUGCAAAAUCAGAAGUUUUAAUCUAAGUCUAUUAUGAAGAAAGAGUACCUUCAUACAUUGGGUAUGGGCCAUCAAUGUGGAAAGCCUGAGCAGAAAACAGGAGACAGCCACCGAAGCACUAUUGCCCUUCUACAUGAUCAACCACACAUCAAUCUUCCAUAAACCAGGCUACCUGGCCUCUUUUGAUCUGAGCUCUCUUUUACUUCAUUUUCUACACACAUCAUCUCUGGACACCAAUGCAACCAACAAACACAAUCAGCUAAGAUGACACUAUCCGAAGGAUGUUAAUUACUAAUUUUCAAAAUAAACUGCUCUGUUAUUUUAUUUUCCUUAUUGUUACUUAUUAUAAUACUUUUUUUCUGUUAAUGAAAAUAACCUUUGUCUUUAGAAAGUAAAAAUAUUCUCAAAUUAAAUGUAGAAAACACUCCAAAAAUUAUGGGUAUGGGUUGUGGCUCUUUCUACCAAAGCAAAAUAGU